GGGAGCGUAGCUCAGUGGGUAGAGCACGAAAAUGGGGGUUAGACAUAAUCCCUAACAGCAACUUUUUAUGAGCAUUAGAGGCCCGGUGUCGCAGGUUCGAAUCCUGCCGCUCCCA
rnacentral:tRNA from 1 species